GGGGCCGACUAGAAUCGACCGGACGAAACCGGUUCAUCGUUGCGAGCCGUGGAGCAUGCAGGCCACGUAAAAAGUAUGCAAACUACAACUGCCAACACGCAGUACGCUCUCGCGGCUUAAUUUGCCGUGACGUGGAGUGGACCCGACGCCCGGUAAGGUCUGCCCGCGAAAAAAACUGGGCUGGUUCCAAGGCGAUGCCUUACCGCUGAGGAACAAGACAACAGUCAGGCUGGCUUAGGUUUGGCGCCCGCCGUACGCGGAUGGCCUAGGCGAGAUUGAAAGAACGGAAACGCUCGUUGACGCGGUGGACAGGACGUAUCGGCACGGGGGUGCGAAUCCCCCCGGCUCCAUUU
rnacentral:tmRNA from 1 species